rnacentral:rRNA from 1 species
UACGGAGGGGGCGAGCGUUAUUCGGAAUUAUUGGGCGUAAAGGGCGCGUAGGCGGCUGUACAAGUCAAAGGUGAAAUCCCUCGGCUCAACUGAGGAACUGCCUUUGAAACUGUACGGCUUGAGGCCGGGAGGGGGUAGCGGAAUUCCCAGUGUAGCGGUGAAAUGCGUAGAUACUGGGAGGAACACCAGUGGCGAAGGCGGCGAUCUGGACGAUGACUGACGCUGAGACGCGAAAGCGUGGGGAGCAAACAGG